UACGUAGGGUGCGAGCGUUAAUCGGAAUUACUGGGCGUAAAGCGUGCGCAGGCGGUUUGGUCGUGUCCUGUGUGAAAGCCCCGGACUUAACCUGGGAAUGGCAUUUGGGACUGCAAGGCUUGAGUGCGGCAGAGGAGACUGGAAUUCCCGGUGUAGCAGUGAAAUGCGUAGAUAUCGGGAGGAAUACUGAUGGCGAAGGCAGGUCUCUGGGGCUACACUGACGCUCAUGCACGAAAGCGUGGGGAGCAAACAGG
rnacentral:rRNA from 1 species